ACAGGAACAAGAUUUCGGUCCGCCAUUAUAGGAAUAGCGUACAAAAAGCUGAUGAAACUGAAGAGUAUCAAUGGGAGGAUUGCUUCUGAAGCAAUAACAAUAUUUGGAUCGGAUUCCUUGAGAGUUUUGAUAAACACUCAGGUGUUUGUCUAUAUUCUAGCAGUACCAGUAUAUCUGAUCAUAGGUAUAAGUUAUCUCUACUACCUCGUAGGAGUUUGGAGCUUUGUAGCAUUGGCGAUAUUUGUCUUGUUUUAUUUCUUACAGGCUCUAAUAAUAAACGCAGUCGCUUUUCUAAGAAAGAGGACGUUGCGUUGGACUGAUUUGAGGGUA